CAUGCACUCAUCUGCCAAUAGCACGUAUGGGUACAUUACCUCCAUUAUAACAAUAUGGGGGUCUUAUUGAACGAUUGAUAGGUUCUUUCUUUCAAGACUAGCAAGUGCUGCCCAGCCGCCACAGAACCCUCGAUGCACCAAUUUUUUUAACUAUUUACCUGCUGGCUACUUAAUCCGGGCCUUGAGCUGAAUUCUCUGAGCGUGGAUUGGCAGCAUUGAGUACAGAUUUCAGCUGUCUGGCAGCAUUUGGUUUGGCUUAAAUCCAGACCAAAUUUCUGUAGUUUGUGG